rnacentral:lncRNA from 1 species
AAGGAAGACUGGAAAAAGAUUAAUGACAUGCAGGGUGCCAACUAUUUUAAUAAAUUGUGCAACGAGAAAGACCCACUUUAACACCAUGAAAGACUGGGAGUAUAUAAAAUACCCAUUAAAUACAAUAAGACACAACAGCAGGUGGCAUAUCUAGGAGUCACUACUAGGACAUUAACACAGAGGUUGGAAGAACAUAGAAAAGACAUUGCUAUGGGAAAAACUUAUCAUGGCUCUAGUGGUUGAAGCAUAUAAUAAUGGCAUUAAAAUAGAAUGGGAACAAGCCAGGAUAAUUAAGCCAGUUACAAUAAAAUCCCAGGCAAUAGUGGAAGAAACCAUUGAGAUAAUAAGGAGACAAGAGAAUGAUAAGCUCAUUAAUGAUAGAUCAGCAGUAGAGUUGCCAGCGCCAUGGAGAUAUCUAAUUAAAGAGUCGGAAAGGGCUUGACAUGGAGCGGACGGUGAAGGCAUCAAGAAGUGCCGUCGAGAUGUGUUAUGUA